UGCCGGACAAUUUAUCUUUGGGGAGGCGGGCCGGGAUUGGAGACAGAGCCCACAAGGCAACAACAAAGUGCGCGUGAGAAAUCAACAAGCGGUGCUUGCCGAGAAGAGAGAGAGAGAGAUGGCGGCGUCGGCGGCGACGGCAACGGCGGCGGCGGUGGGGGCGGGGGAGGUGAUCUCCGUCCACACCCUGGAGCAGUGGACCAUGCAGAUCGAGGAGGCCAACGCCGCCAAGAAGCUGGUGGUCAUUGACUUCACUGCAUCGUGGUGUGGACCCUGCCGCAUUAUGGCUCCAAUUUUCGCUGAUCUCGCCAAGAAGUUCCCAGCUGCUGUUUUCCUCAAGGUCGAUGUUGAUGAACUGAAGUCCAUUGCUGAGCAAUUCAGCGUGGAGGCCAUGCCAACCUUCCUGUUCAUGAAGGAAGGAGACGUCAAGGACAGGGUUGUCGGAGCUAUCAAGGAGGAACUGACGAACAAGGUUGGGCUACACGCGGCCCAGUAAUCACCUAGCGGUGUAGUAUUGGCCUAAAUAAAAUUGCCGCUCAACAAGUAGUGCCUCUAAUGGCACCUUAUAUCCUGUGUACUUCUUGUUACUUGUUGGUUUAUGGAUAAUGCGUUGCUUAAUCCAAGCUAGUGUGCUUUUGCAUAAAUAGUUUUCGCCCCUUUGGAUGUGAAUUUGCCUGGAUCUAUCCUGAUCUACAAGCUGGGAUGUGCAUGUGCACACGGUUCCAGUGUUGGUUCCCCUCUCCGAUCCCACCUGGAGCUGGAAGUUCUCCCCUUUUCAAAAAAAGGGAGGAAAUUCUCUUCCGGAUUCAAGCAGAAACAUAUUUUGAUUCGGUUUCAUCAGGCUAGCAAUCCUCUCUUCAUAUAUACCUGGACAAUCGUCUUGU
rnacentral:rRNA from 1 species